AGUUUGAUCCUGGCUCAGAGUGAACGCUAGCGGCAGGCUUAAUACAUGCAAGUCGAACGGCAGCGGGUCCAGCAAUGGAUGCCGGCGAGUGGCGCACGGGUGCGUAACACGUAUGCAACCUACCUUUAACCGGGACAUAACCUCGAGAAAUCGUGGCUAAUAUUCCAUAAUAUCUUUGAAUCGCAUGGUUUGAAGAUCAAAAUUCCGAUGGUUUUAGAUGGGCAUGCGCGACAUUAGCUAGUUGGUGAGGUAAUGGCUCACCAAGGCUACGAUGUUUAGGGGGUCUGAGAGGAUGAUCCCCCACACUGGUACUGAGACACGGACCAGACUCCUACGGGAGGCAGCAGUAAGGAAUAUUGGGCAAUGGGCGCAAGCCUGACCCAGCCAUGCCGCGUGCAGGAUGACAGCCCUACGGGUUGUAAACUGCUUUUAUACGGGAAAAAACCCUCUGACGUGUCAGAGGCUGAUGGUACCGUAAGAAUAAGCAUCGGCUAACUCCGUGCCAGCAGCCGCGGUAAUACGGAGGAUGCAAGCGUUAUCCGGAUUUACUGGGUUUAAAGGGUGCGCAGGCGGAACGACAAGUCAGUGGUGAAAUCUCCUGGCUCAACCAGGAAACUGCCAUUGAUACUAUCGUUCUUGAGUCCAGUUGAAGUAGGCGGAAUGUAGCAUGUAGCGGUGAAAUGCUUAGAUAUGCUACAGAACACCGAUAGCGAAGGCAGCUUACUAAACUGAAACUGACGCUCAUGCACGAAAGCGUGGGGAUCAAACAGGAUUAGAUACCCUGGUAGUCCACGCCCUAA
rnacentral:rRNA from 1 species